rnacentral:rRNA from 1 species
CCUACGGGAGGCAGCAGUAGGGAAUCUUCCGCAAUGGACGAAAGUCUGACGGAGCAACGCCGCGUGAGUGAUGAAGGCUUUCGGGUCGUAAAACUCUGUUGUUAGGGAAGAACAAGUGCUAGUUGAAUAAGCUGGCACCUUGACGGUACCUAACCAGAAAGCCACGGCUAACUACGUGCCAGCAGCCGCGGUAAUACGUAGGUGGCAAGCGUUAUCCGGAAUUAUUGGGCGUAAAGCGCGCGCAGGUGGUUUCUUAAGUCUGAUGUGAAAGCCCACGGCUCAACCGUGGAGGGUCAUUGGAAACUGGGAGACUUGAGUGCAGAAGAGGAAAGUGGAAUUCCAUGUGUAGCGGUGAAAUGCGUAGAGAUAUGGAGGAACACCAGUGGCGAAGGCGACUUUCUGGUCUGUAACUGACACUGAGGCGCGAAAGCGUGGGGAGCAAACAGGAUUAGAUACCCUGGUAGUCCACGCCGUAAACGAUGAGUGCUAAGUGUUAGAGGGUUUCCGCCCUUUAGUGCUGAAGUUAACGCAUUAAGCACUCCGCCUGGGGAGUACGGCCGCAAGGCUGAAACUCAAAGUGAAUUGACGG